GUAACAAGGUUUCCGUAGGUGAACCUGCGGAAGGAUCAUUAAAUAAUCAAUAAUUUUGGCUUGUCCAUUAUUAUCUAUUUACUGUGAACUGUAUUAUUACUUGACGCUUGAGGGAUGCUCCACUGCUAUAAGGAUAGGCGGUGGGGAUGUUAACCGAGUCAUAGUCAAGCUUAGGCUUGGUAUCCUAUUAUUAUUUACCAAAAGAAUUCAGAAUUAAUAUUGUAACAUAGACCUAAAAAAUCUAUAAAACAACUUUUAACAACGGAUCUCUUGGUUCUCGCAUCGAUGAAGAACGUAGCAAAGUGCGAUAACUAGUGUGAAUUGCAUAUUCAGUGAAUCAUCGAGUCUUUGAACGCAACUUGCGCUCAUUGGUAUUCCAAUGAGCACGCCUGUUUCAGUAUCAAAACAAACCCUCUAUCCAGCAUUUUGUUGAAUAGGAAUACUGAGAGUCUCCUGAUCUAUUCUGAUCUCGAACCUCUUGAAAUGUACAAAGGCCUGAUCUUGUUUAAAUGCCUGAACUUUUUUUUAAUAUAAAGAGAAGCUCUUGCGGUAAACUGUGCUGGGGCCUCCCAAAUAAUACUCUUUUUAAAUUUGAUCUGAAAUCAGGCGGGAUUACCCGCUGAACUUAAGCAUAUCA
rnacentral:misc_RNA from 1 species